UACAGAGGUCCCAAGCGUUGUUCGGAUUCACUGGGCGUAAAGGGUGCGUAGGCGGUCGGGUAAGUCUGAUGUGAAAUCUCACAGCUUAACUGUGAAACUGCGUUGGAUACUAUCCGGCUAGAGGAAUGGAGGGGAGACUGGAAUACUUGGUGUAGCAGUGAAAUGCGUAGAUAUCAAGUGGAACACCAGUGGCGAAGGCGAGUCUCUGGACAUUUCCUGACGCUGAGGCACGAAAGCCAGGGGAGCAAACGGG
rnacentral:rRNA from 1 species